UUGUUAGAAGUUUGGCGAUAUAAGGGAUCAUCGGCAGGUUGAGGAUUAAAAGAACCACAUUGCCAAUGUACAUUGAAAUAAUAACGGCCCAAAAAAUCGAUGGAUUGUCGAUCAUUAGCCGUGGCCC
rnacentral:ncRNA from 1 species